CAGUGUCUUCAGACUCAGUAUUCAGCCCAUAGAAGGUAAGCCAAUAAGGACUGUGCUGCUUGACCUCUACUCUUAACCACUGUCCGAAUGCCAUUUUCUCUUUACCAGACAUUUUCGCUUCAGUAAAAGGAAUUUCUUGACAAGAAGAAGCAUAGUGUCCGAGUCGGCCGCAGGAAUAGCAGAAAUGAGCGAGUCGCUCAUAACGGAAGUCUAGCCAGAAAGUCUUACCAGCUAGUCUAAGUAGUUGUCCUGUUUUCAAAGGGUUAGCUAGAUCAAGUUCUAUUCGGACACGUGCAGCUCGAAUAGUUGUACCGUCCUUUUUAUCAAUAUUUACCUGAAGCACUCUCCCCACACUUUUAACCGCUUUACAGAGCAUGUGGUCGGAACACCACUCAAGGGGAAGUCCAAAAACUUGUACCCAGAAGGCGCAUGUAGUAAAAUCAUAGUAGUGUAAAGGUGUAUUUGGUUUCCAAGGCUUAAGAAUUACCAGAUGACCAGCAAAGUUCCAUGGACCACCGUCGAGCACUCUCUGUUUUUCACUUGCUAAUUUAAAGGUAGCAAUAAAAAGGCCAUCUUCACGUUGAGUGAUUUCUACAUUGUCUACCUUCCAAACUCGGCUAAGAGUACUGUGAAGAGCUUGAGGAUUUACAGUAGGGUUAGAGAGAAUUGUACCUACUAACACAUUCCUACACUCAUGCAGCUGUUGCAUUGGAGGAGGGUCAUCCCAGACAUCGAUUUCAUCAUAUUCCGACCACAGACGGCCCAUUCUGCUGCUGAGGGCUGCCAGACGCGAUUCUUCACUCAGAUGAUGGGAAUCCAUAACUUAAUUGCGAAAAGAAACUGAAUAAUUAGAUCUGAAGGGGCUCGGACAUGAGGCAGCGGUUGCACUAAAAACUGUAGACAAAGAGAUAGGAGGUAAGG
rnacentral:lncRNA from 1 species